rnacentral:rRNA from 1 species
GUGGGGAAUCUUGCGCAAUGGGCGAAAGCCUGACGCAGCCAUGCCGCGUGAAUGAUGAAGGUCUUAGGAUUGUAAAAUUCUUUCACCGGGGACGAUAAUGACGGUACCCGGAGAAGAAGCUCCGGCUAACUACGUGCCAGCAGCCGCGGUAAUACGUAGGGAGCAAGCGUUGUCCGGAAUUACUGGGCGUAAAGGGUGCGUAGGCGGCAUGUUAAGUUAGAUGUCAAAUACCCGGGCUUAACCCGGGGACGCAUCUAAAACUGGCGUGCUUGAGUGCAGGAGAGGAAAGCGGAAUUCCUAGUGUAGCGGUGGAAUGCGUAGAUAUUAGGAGGAACACCAGUGGCGAAGGCGGCUUUCUGGACUGUAACUGACGCUGAAGCACGAAAGCGUGGGGAGCAAACAGGAUUAGAUACCCCGGUAGUCC